GCCGCCUUAGCUCAGUUGGUUAGAGCGACGCACUCGUAAUGCGUAGGUCUGGGGUUCGACUCCCCAAGGCGGCUCCA
rnacentral:tRNA from 1 species